rnacentral:tRNA from 3 species
AAUAAGGUGCCUGAGAAAAGGGCUAUCUUGAUAGGAUAGAUUAUGCAUCUACAUGCCCUUAUUA